GAAAUGCGAUAAGUAAUGUGAAUUGCAGAAUUCAGUGAAUCAUCGAAUCUUUGAACGCACAUUGCGCCCCUCGGCAUUCCGGGGGGCAUGCCUGUUCGAGCGUCAUUUCAACCAUCAAGCACAGCUUGGCAAUGGGCCGUCGUCCGCCGCCUCCGGGCGCGGGCGUGCCCCGAAACCGUCGGCAGGGUCACGCGACCGGCCGGGCGUAGCAGAAAAGGAAGGCUCACGCCGACCCCUCACGUCCGACCGGCGCGCGCCAGGCCGUAAAGCCCAGCCGUCGGUGCUCCUUCGCGGGGGUACCGCGGCGAAACAACAAAGGUUGACCUCGGAUCAGGUAGGGAUACCCGCUGAACUUAA
rnacentral:misc_RNA from 1 species